rnacentral:rRNA from 1 species
CCUACGGGAGGCAGCAGUGAGGAAUAUUGGUCAAUGGGCGAGAGCCUGAACCAGCCAAGUCGCGUGAGGGAGUACUGCCCUAUGGGUUGUAAACCUCUUUUGUCGGGGAGCAAAAGCCGGACGUGUCCGGCUGUGAGAGUACCCGAAGAAAAAGCAUCGGCUAACUCCGUGCCAGCAGCCGCGGUAAUACGGAGGAUGCGAGCGUUAUCCGGAUUUAUUGGGUUUAAAGGGUGCGCAGGCGGAUUUUUAAGUCAGCGGUCAAAUCGUGGGGCUCAACCCCAUCCAGCCGUUGAAACUGGGGAUCUAGAGUGUGCGAGAGGUAUGCGGAAUGCGUGGUGUAGCGGUGAAAUGCGUAGAUAUCAGGAGGAAUACCGUUAGCGAAGGCGGCAAUCUGGCUGGAAACUGACGCUGAGGUGCGAAAGCGUGGGUAGCAAACAGGAUUAGAUACCCCUGUAGUC